CUCAGCUCUGCUGUAAGAACCCGUUCAGUUUUAUGUUGUCUCUCAUAUCGGAGGAGUAGUUGCUGUAAAGUCCGUCUCUCCACCCGAUCAGCUGGAUUUCCAAGAGAUAACUGCAUGCUGCCUUUGAAGAUAAGGCUGCUGAAAAGUGUUGCACAAAACUGUGCAUCAAAACAUUCACACUGCAUUUAAGAGGAGGAAUCUGAGCACCUCUGAUUACCUUCAGGUCCAGGCUUUAAGCAAUCGUGAGGUCCUGAUGCAGGGUCGGGGAACCCGUUACAGUUGAUGAUGGUGGAGUAGAGGGAGACGGACUCUUUGGCCACUCGAGGCACAUUGGGGUCGGAGCGGUUGACAUAGAAAAGUCCAAAUCUUUCUGCAAAGCCAGUGGCCCACUCCAGGUUGUCCAUGAGUGACCAAGCUGUGUAGCCACGGACGUCCACGUCAUCUAGCAGAUCUAUGGGCCCGCGCUCUGAGACCCCAUUCUCAGUGAUGAUAAUCGUAGGAUUUCCAUAUUCCUUCUUAAUGAAGUUCAGUAUUCUGCGCAAUCCAAACGGCGUGACCUUCAGCCAACCGGAACCAGAAUCAAGCCAGGAAAAUACCUGGGGCAGCUACUCCAUAUCCAUGGCCAACCAUUGCAACAUUAUAUGGCUCAUUGAUGGUGAUCCAAAGUUUCACUCUGUCACCAAGACGGCUAAAGA